rnacentral:rRNA from 1 species
GAUGAACGCUGGCGGCGUGCUUAACACAUGCAAGUCGAACGGACAGGCCACAGCUUUCUUUGGUACUCGAGUGGCGAACGGGUGAGUAACACAUGUGUGUUCUGCCCUGUACUUCGGGAUAUGCUUUGGAAACUGGGUCUAAUACCGGAUAUGAUUCACAUGUCGGUGUGUUUUUGUAAAGCUUUUGCGGUAUGGGAUGAGUUCGCGGCCUAUCAGCUUGUUGGUGGGGUAAUGGUCUACCAAGGCGUUGCCGGGUAGCCGGCAUGAGAGGGUGUACGGCCUCAUGGGGACUGAGAUACGGCCCAGACUCCUACGGGAGGCAGCAGGGGGGAAUAUUGCACAAUGGGCGCAAGCCUGAUGCAGCGACGCCGCGUGGGGGAUGACGGCCUUCGGGUGGUAAACACCUUUCGACAGAGACGAAGCGAAAGUGACGGUACCUGGAUAAGAAGCACCGGCUAACUACGUG